GAUCAGAUCAAGCGCGAGAAGGGCGUUUGGUGGAUGCCUUGGCAGUAAGAGGCGAUGAAGGACGUGAUACUCUGCGAUAAGUCAUGGGGAGCUGAGAAUAAGCUUUGAUCCAUGAAUUUCCGAAUGGGGCAACCCACCUGACAGUUGAUUAUAAUAGCCUUCGGGCAUUUUAUAGUUGGCUGAAACAGGUACUUAUUACCUGAAUAUAUAGGGUUUUAAGAGCAAACCCGGGGAACUGAAACAUCUAAGUACCCGGAGGAAAGGACAUCAAUAGAGACUCCCCUAGUAGCGGCGAGCGAACGGGGACCAGCCGAGCCAUGAGAGUGACCAGAACUGUUUGGAAAAGCAGACCAUAGUGGGUGACAGUCCCGUAUGGGUAGCUCGAUUGGACGUAUUAAGUAGGGCGGGACACGUGAAAUCCUGUCUGAAGAUCGGGGGACCACCCCCGAAGGCUAAGUACUCCUUACUGACCGAUAGCGAACCAGUACCGUGAGGGAAAGGUGAAAAGCACCCCGACGAGGGGAGUGAAACAGUACCUGAAACCGAACGCCUACAAUCAGUUGGAGGGCCCUUGCGGCCUGACAGCGUACCUUUUGUAUAAUGGGUCAUCGACUUGGUCUCACAAGCAAGCUUAAGCCGUUAGGUGUAGGCGCAGCGAAAGCGAGUCUUAAUAGGGCGCAUGAGUUUGUGGGAUCAGACCCGAAACCGAGUGAUCUAGGCAUGACCAGGAUGAAGGUAAGGUAACACUUACUGGAGGUCCGAACCCACACCUGUUGAAAAAGGUCGGGAUGAGUUGUGCCUAGGGGUGAAAGGCCAAUCAAACUCGGAGAUAGCUGGUUCUCCGCGAAAUCUAUUUAGGUAGAGCGUCGUCCGAAUACCCUCGGGGGUAGAGCACUGGAUGGGUAAUGGGGUCCCACAGACUUACUGAUCCUAACCAAACUCCGAAUACCGAGGAGUACUAGACGGCAGACACACUGCGGAUGCUAACGUCCGUAGUGAAGAGGGAAACAACCCUGACCUCCAGCUAAGGCCCCUAAUUCAUGGCUAAGUGGGAAAGCAGGUGAGACGGCCAAAACAACCAGGAGGUUGGCUUAGAAGCAGCCAUCCUUUAAAGAUAGCGUAACAGCUCACUGGUCUAAUUUAGCUGUCUUGCGGCGAAGAUGUAACGGGGCUCAAGCCAUGAGCCGAAGCUGAGGAUGCACAUAGUGCAUGGUAGCGGAGCGUAGUGUGACAUAGGACUUCGUCUUUACUGAUCUUUUGCAGGACCAAUUUUGGAUACCGGGUGUUCGCACUCAAGUAGCCGAAGGCGGUAGUGCAAAUAAGAGGUCAGAAAAGACGUUAGUCUUUUCUGUGAAGCCGGGGCGUGAGCCAUCCGGUGGAGAGAUCACUAGUGAGAAUGAUGACAUGAGUAGCGACAAAGGGAGUGAGAGACUCCCUCGCCGAAAGUCCAAGGGUUCCUGCUUAAAGCUAAUCUGAGCAGGGUAAGCCGACCCCUAAGGCGAGGCCGAAAGGCGUAGUCGAUGGGAAUCAGGUUAAUAUUCCUGAGCCAGUAGGAUGUGACGGAUUGCGACGGUUGUUCCUCCUUAUCGGAUUGGAGGGGCCGCUUAGCAGUUCCUGGAAAUAGCCCUACAUGAGAUCGUACCCUAAACCGACACAGGUGGACUGGUAGAGAAUACCAAGGCGCUUGAGAGAACGAUGUUGAAGGAACUCGGCAAAAUACCUCCGUAAGUUCGCGAGAAGGAGGCCCGGUAGAUACGCAAGUAUUUGCCGGGGGCACAAACCAGGGGGUGGCGACUGUUUACUAAAAACACAGGGCUCUGCGAAGUCGCAAGACGACGUAUAGGGUCUGACGCCUGCCCGGUGCCUGAAGGUUAAAAGGAGGGGUGCAAGCUCUGAAUUGAAGCCCAGGUAAACGGCGGCCGUAACUAUAACGGUCCUAAGGUAGCGAAAUUCCUUGUCGGGUAAGUUCCGACCUGCACGAAUGGCGUAACGACUUCCCCGCUGUCUCCAACAUCGACUCAGCGAAAUUGAAUUGCCUGUCAAGAUGCAGGCUUCCCGCGGUUAGACGGAAAGACCCCGUGCACCUUUACUACAGCUUCACACUGGCAUUAGGCCGAACAUGUGCAGGAUAGGUGGUGGGCUUUGAAGCAGGGACGCUAGUCCCUGUGGAGCCUCCCUUGAGAUACCACCCUUGUUCUGCUUGAUGUCUAACCGCGCACCGUUAUCCGGUGCCGGGACCCUGUGUGGCGGGUAGUUUGACUGGGGCGGUCGCCUCCUAAAGCGUAACGGAGGCGCGCGAAGGUUGGCUCAGAGCGGUCGGAAAUCGCUCGUUGAGUGCAAUGGCAGAAGCCAGCCUGACUGCGAGACUGACAAGUCGAGCAGAGACGAAAGUCGGCCAUAGUGAUCCGGUGGUCCCAAGUGGGAGGGCCAUCGCUCAACGGAUAAAAGGUACGCCGGGGAUAACAGGCUGAUACUGCCCAAGAGUCCAUAUCGACGGCAGUGUUUGGCACCUCGAUGUCGGCUCAUCUCAUCCUGGGGCUGGAGCAGGUCCCAAGGGUACGGCUGUUCGCCGUUUAAAGAGGUACGUGAGCUGGGUUUAGAACGUCGUGAGACAGUUCGGUCCCUAUCUGCCGUGGGUGUAGGAUACUUGAGAAGAGUUGCCCCUAGUACGAGAGGACCGGGGUGAACGAACCACUGGUGGACCAGUUGUCGUGCCAACGGCAGUGCUGGGUAGCUAUGUUCGGACAGGAUAACCGCUGAAGGCAUCUAAGCGGGAAGCCCCCUUCAAAACAAGGUAUCCCUGAGGGCCGUGGUAGACCACCACGUCGAUAGGCUGGAGAUGUAAGCGCAGCAAUGCGUUCAGUUGACCAGUACUAAUUGCCCGAUAGGCUUGAUUUGAUCCAG
rnacentral:rRNA from 3 species